rnacentral:rRNA from 1 species
AACGAACGCUGGCGGCAUGCCUAACACAUGCAAGUCGAACGAAGUCUUCGGACUUAGUGGCUCACGGGUGCGUAACGCGUGGGAAUCUGCCCUUGGGUACGGAAUAACUCAGAGAAAUGUGUGCUAAUACCGUAUAAUGUCUUCGGACCAAAGAUUUAUCGCCCAAGGAUGAGCCCGCGUAAGAUUAGCUAGUUGGUGGGGUAAAAGCCUACCAAGGCGACGAUCUUUAGCUGGUCUGAGAGGAUGAUCAGCCACACUGGGACUGAGACACGGCCCAGACUCCUGCGGGGGGCAGCAGUGGGGAAUAUUGGACAAUGGGCGAAAGCCUGAUCCAGCAAUGCCGCGUGAGUGAUGAAGGCCUUAGGGUUGUAAAGCUCUUUUACCAGGGAUGAUAAUGACAGUACCUGGAGAAUAAGCUCCGGCUAACUCCGUGCCAGCAGCCGCCGUAACAC